GGGGAGUCUAGUGGUCAGGGUGCUCCACUCCCAGCUGAAAGGUUCUGGGUUCAAUCCCCAGUGUCCUCA